UACAGAGGUCCCAAGCGUUGUUCGGAUUUACUGGGCGUAAAGGGUGCGUAGGUGGCGAGGUAAGUUUGAUGUGAAAUCUCCGAGCUCAACUCGGAAAUGGCAUUGAAUACUAUCCCGCUUGAGGGUCGGAGGGGAGACUGGAAUUCUCGGUGUAGCAGUGAAAUGCGUAGAUAUCGAGAGGAACACCAGUGGCGAAGGCGAGUCUCUGGACGACUCCUGACACUGAGGCACGAAAAGCUGGGGGGAGCAAACAGG
rnacentral:rRNA from 1 species